UACGUAGGGUGCGAGCGUUAAUCGGAAUUACUGGGCGUAAAGCGUGCGCAGGCGGUUUUGCAAGCCGGAUGUGAAAUCCCCGGGCUCAACCUGGGAAUGGCAUUCGGGACUGCAAGGCUGGAGUGCGGCAGAGGAGACUGGAAUUCCUGGUGUAGCAGUGAAAUGCGUAGAUAUCAGGAGGAAUACCGAUGGCGAAGGCAGGUCUCUGGGCUGACACUGACGCUCAUGCACGAGAGCGUGGGGAGCAAACAGG
rnacentral:rRNA from 1 species